rnacentral:rRNA from 1 species
AGUAGUUUCGAGUCCUGGCGUCAAGGGCGAACGCUGGCGGCGUGCUUAACACGUGGCAAGUCGAACGGAAAGGACCCUUCGGGGUACGUCGAGUGGCGAACGGGUGAGUAACACGUGGGUGAUCUGCCCUGCACUUUGGGAUAAGCCUGGGAAACUGGGUCUAAUACCGAAUAGGACCGCGCUCUUCAUGGGGUGUGGUGGAAAGCUUUUGCGGUGUGGGACUGGGCCCGCGGCCUAUCAGCUUGUUGGUGGGGUAAUGGCCUACCAAGGCGACGACGGGUAGCCGGCCUGAGAGGGUGACCGGCCACACUGGGACUGAGAUACGGCCCAGACUCCUACGGGAGGCAGCGGUGGGGAAUAUUGCACAAUGGGCGCAAGCCUGAUGCAGCGACGCCGCGUGAGGGAUGACGGCCUUCGGGUUGUAAACCUCCUUCAGUAGGGACGAAGCGCAAGUGACGGUACCUAUAGAAGAAGGACCGGCCAACUACGUG